CUGAGUAAGGGGGCCGGCUGUCGCCGGCCCCCAUGGGUGGGCGCCACGGGGUGCUUUUACCCCGGCGGCGUCCAUCAUCUCUACACCCUAUGAUUACGUACCAACGUUGCUUUGGCGGGUCUUGGGAACCCUCAUUCCGCCCCCGGAAUCGCUGUCCGGGGACGGUCCGUACCCGCCAGAGGUCUAUUCAACUCUGUAUUGUCAGUGUUGUCCGAGUAUACAUAAAUAAUC
rnacentral:misc_RNA from 1 species